rnacentral:rRNA from 1 species
CCUACGGGUGGCAGCAGUGGGGAAUAUUGCGCAAUGGGCGAAAGCCUGACGCAGCGACGCCGCGUGAGGGAUGAAGGUCUUCGGAUCGUAAACCUCUGUCAGUAGGGAAGAACGGUCACUGUGCUAAUCAGCAGUGAAUUGACGGUAUCUGCAAAGGAAGCACCGGCUAACUCCGUGCCAGCAGCCGCGGUAAUACGGAGGGUGCGAGCGUUAAUCGGAAUUAUUGGGCGUAAAGCGCGCGUAGGCGGUAUGUCAAGUCAGGGGUGAAAUCCCCGCGCUCAACGUGGGAACUGCCUUUGAAACUGGCAAACUGGAGUGUGUGAGAGGAUAGUGGAAUUCCAGGUGUAGGGGUGAAAUCCGUAGAUAUCUGGAGGAACAUCAGUGGCGAAGGCGACUAUCUGGCACAUAACUGACGCUGAGGAUCGAAAGCGUGGGUAGCAAACAGGAUUAGAUACCCUUGUAGUC